rnacentral:rRNA from 1 species
GAUGAACGCUAGCGGCGGGCUUAACACAUGCAAGUCGAGGGGCAGCGCGGGUUUUCGGACUUGGCGGCAACCGGCGGACGGGUGAGUAACGCGUACGUUACCUACCCCUAACAGGAGGAUAGAUUUGCGAAAGCGGGAGUAAUACUCCAUAGUAUUGUGAGGAUGUGAGUUUUCAUAAUGAAAGGUUUGUUUUUAUUAAUAAGCUGGUUAGGGAUGGGCGUGCGUCCUAUUAGUUAGUUGGUGAGGUAAAGGCUUACCAAGACUGCGAUAGGUAGGGGUCUUGAGAGGGAUGUCCCCCACACUGGAACUGAGACACGGUCCAGACUUCUACGGAAGGCAGCAGUGAGGAAUAAUGGUCAAUGAGCGCAAGCUUGAACCUGCCAUGCCGCGUGCAGGAUGAAUGCCUUAUGGGUUGUAAACUGCUUUUAUAUUAUAAGAAGAUGAGCUACGAGAGUUUUUUACUGUAGUAUGAAUAAGGAU